GACUAUACUCCCACUUUGUAGGUGUGAAUAAAUACGCUUUGGACAAAAACUAUGGCAUGCUUUUCAUCGUCUGGGAUCGGAUGUUUGGUACAUUUGCCGAGGAACGCGAGGACGAGCCCAUCGUCUACGGCACUGUGUCUCAGAUGGACACCUUUCAUACACUCGGCCUUCAGCUAAAGCCUUAUCAGCAACUGUAUCAAAAGAUGAAAGCAAUGAAAACUGGCGGUGACAGAUUGCGGACUCUGUUCUACGGACCUGGCUGGUCUCCAGGCAAGCCUCGCCUUGGGGCGGAAGAAGACAUCCCUGACAUUGUGAGAAGGGAACAACUGGAGCAGUCCUUGCCGUUUUGGCUUAACUUGUACCUGGCAUUUCAAACAACUGUCGUUGUUUUUCUUGUGAAGGAUAUGGGAGUAAGAGUUGAGACAUUUGGUCUCUGGCUGUCAUUUGUAAACUUCGGCAUUAUUUUAUCUGCAUGUAUAUCUCUGGGGGCUCUGCACGAUUCCAAUUAUUACGCUGUUUGGCUGGAGCCUG